rnacentral:rRNA from 1 species
CGAUUAGUAAGGAAUAUUGGUCAAUGGGCGGAAGCCUGAACCAGCCAUGCCGCGUGCAGGAAGACGGCCCUACGGGUUGUAAACUGCUUUUGUACCGGAAUAAACCCUCGUUCGUGAACGAGGCUGAAUGUACGGUAAGAAUAAGGAUCGGCUAACUCCGUGCCAGCAGCCGCGGUAAUACGGAGGAUCCAAGCGUUAUCCGGAUUUAUUGGGUUUAAAGGGUGCGUAGGCGGCUCUUUAAGUCAGUGGUGAAAGUCCAGAGCUCAACUCUGGGAUUGCCAUUGAUACUGAAGAGCUUGAGUAUAGUUGAGGU